UACGUAGGGUGCGAGCGUUGUCCGGAAUUAUUGGGCGUAAAGAGCUUGUAGGCGGUCUGUUGCGUCGGUCGUGAAAUCCCUCGGCUCAACCGAGGAACGUCGAUCGAUACUGCUGUUCUUGAGGAUUGCAGAGGAGACUGGAAUUCCCGGUGUAGCGGUGAAAUGUGUAGAGAUCGGGAGGAACACCGGUGGCGAAGGCGGGUCUCUGGGCAAUUCCUGACGCUGAGGCGCGAAAGCGUGGGGAGCAAACGGG
rnacentral:rRNA from 1 species